GGAAAACAUUCCAGUACGCCCUCAAAGGACUAAACAUAGAAUCGCCGUAUGACCCAGCGAUUCCACUCCUAGAAAAACAAACCCUAUGCAGAGACUGAAAAUGCGUGGCUAGCAGCACACAGUCCACAGGUUGUAAGCAUCACAAAAGAAGUAACCACGUCAGUUUCUGCCAGUAUCUAACCAGGGCCCAAUAAGUAAUUUCUUGACUUCAUGAUGUUCAAGGGUCCCAGGACCCAAUCCUUAGACCACUUCACCCAUCUGUCUAUACUCACUCUCC